CUUGAUAAUAAUAAGAGGUCUCGCCUGCCCAGUGACAAACUUCAACGGCCGCGGUACCCUAACCGUGCAAAGGUAGCAUAAUCACUUGUUCUUUAAAUAAGGACUCGUAUCAAUGGCAUCACGAGGGUUGCACUGUCUCCCCCCUCCAAUCAGUGAAACUGAUCUCUCCGUGAAAAAGCGGGGAUAAAACUAUAAGACGAGAAGACCCCGUGGAGCUUUAAACCAACAGCAAUUUAGUAAAAAUUUCCUUUCAGCUGCAAAACCAUGCUAACGGCUUUGGGUUGGGGUGACCAUGGAGUAAAAUUUAACCUCCGUGUCGAAAAGAUAAUCUUAACCUAAGAAUUACUAUUCUAAGAAUUAGAAAACUAACGAACUAUGACCCGAUUAUCGAUCAACGAACCA
rnacentral:rRNA from 1 species